rnacentral:rRNA from 1 species
CCUACGGGUGGCAGCAGUGGGGAAUAUUGCACAAUGGGGGAAACCCUGAUGCAGCGACGCCGCGUGAGUGAAGAAGUAUUUCGGUACGUAAAGCUCUAUCAGCAGGGAAGAAAAUGACGGUACCUGACUAAGAAGCCCCGGCUAACUACGUGCCAGCAGCCGCGGUAAUACGUAGGGGGCAAGCGUUAUCCGGAUUUACUGGGUGUAAAGGGAGCGGAGACGGCAGCGCAAGUCUGGAGUGAAAUCCCAUGGCUUAACCAUGGAACUACUUUGGAAACUGUGCAGCUAGAGUGCAGGAGAGGUAAGCGGAAUUCCUAGUGUAGCGGUGAAAUGCGUAGAUAUUAGGAGGAACACCAGUGGCGAAGGCGGCUUACUGGACUGUAACUGACGUUGAGGCUCGAAAGCGUGGGGAGCAAACAGGAUUAGAUACCCCAGUAGUC